rnacentral:lncRNA from 1 species
UUUUAAACCAUUUAAUUUCGAGAGUUUGGAGACCCUCACUUCGUGUGUGUGUGUUUUGCAGUCUCCCAUCAUGACCUGGACUAAAGGGGGCUGCUAACAGUAUUUGGCAUUCCCGAGUGAGCACCUUUGGUGACACCUUCAAAUGCUCAGUAUAUCUGUAUGAAAAACACUCUUGCUUUAUUUGCAUGAUUUUUUCCGUUGUAAGUUGUCUUAAUAGAGUUUUCUGUGAUAGGAAUAUGGAAAUAGACAUGUUAUGAUUCAAAAGCUGUCAUCUUUUGUGGUCUAAGUUUUUGUUGACUGCAUUUUCUUUCAGGAAAUUACACUUAAGCCAUCUUUCAUAAUUCCCUUGGAGUCUGUGCUGCUUGACCACAUUAUAACAAGAUGCUUUUGAUCCUUUGAUAAUUAAAUGCUCUACUGAAUGGUGAGAGAGACGGAUCUGCCUUGUAUUAAAUUCUCCUCUAAGGAGAAAGGAGGUUAAUGACACCUCCAGAUAGUAAUAGGUAGUAUUACUAUAAGAUAAUGAGCAAAUUGCCACAGGCUGGGCCUGGUAUCUUUAUACCAUGAAUAUAAAAUAGCAUUUUAUCUUUUUACCAUGAAUGAGUAAAGCACAUCAUGGUUCAAAUUUUGCUUUCAGAAGGAAUGCAGGCAUCUGUAAUUCUGUGAGCCAACUGUAUUAAGUGGUUAAUUUGUAGCUAUUAGCUCCAUUUGCCAUAUAGAUUUCACUGUAAAAAUAGUAUUCUAUGAAAGCCUAAAUUCAAGCCUAUAGACAUCUACCUGAUUGCUGGGACCAGAACUGGCACACCUUCUCAAAAGCUGCAGCCUCUUAGAGGUCCUUGGGAGGAGGACAGUGUGAUGGUCAGUUUCAUGUAUAAACUUGGCAGGUUGUAGUCUCCAGUUAUUUAGUCAAACACUAAUCUAGGUGCUGCUGUGAAUUUGUAAAUGUGGUUAACAUCUAAACUCAGUUGACUUUAAGUAAAGAAGAUUACCCUCAAUAAUAGCGGUGGGGCCGCAUCCAGUCAGUUGAAAGCUUUAAGAGCAAAAACUGGUUUCCCAGAGAAGAAAUUCUGCCUCAAGACUGUAACUUCAAGUCCUGCCUGAGUUUUCGGCCUGCCCUACAAAUUUGGACUUGUCAGCUCCCACAAUCAUUUCUCUCUGUUUGCAUCCUGUUCAUCUGCUGGCAUUCCUUCAGGCUCCUUACGCCGACAUAGUCUGUCCUGUAUUGAACAGUGUCCUCCAAGAGGAAUGUUGAAGUCCUCAGCCCUGGUAGCUGUGAUGUGAUCUCACAUGGGAAUUGGGUCUUAGUAGAUGUAAUCGAAUUAAGAUGAGGUUAUUAGGGUGGAUCCUAAUCUGACCGGUGGUCUUACAAGAAAAGGAAAGCACCAUGUAAAGAUUCACACAGAGACAAGAUAGCCAUGUGACAACGGAGAGAGAAGUUGGAGUGAUGCAUCUUCAAAUCCAGGAACGCUAAGGAUUGAUGGCAAAUACCAGAAGCUAGAAGAGGAAGAGGCAAGGAAGGAUUCUCCUCUACAGAUUUUAGAGAGAACAUGGCCCUGACAACUGCUCGAUUUCAGACUUCUAGCCUCCAGAACUACGAGAUAAUAAAUUUUUGUUUUAUUAAGCCACCUAGUUUGUGGUACUUUGUCACAGCAGCCCUAGGAAAUUAAGAACAGGUCCCACAGGACGGCCUGAAAAUCAAAGUGCUUUUAGUAUGUUCUCUAUUGGAAGUUGCUUCCUCCAGCUAAUAACAUCUAGACUCAUGUGUGAGCG